GACGAACGCUGGCGGCGUGCUUAACACAUGCAAGUCGAACGAGUGGCGGACGGGUGAGUAAUGUAUGGGGAUCUGCCCGAUAGAGGGGGAUAACUACUGGAAACGGUGGCUAAUACCGCAUACUAUCGGAUGAACCCAUAUGGGAUUAGCUAGUAGGUGGGGUAAAGGCUCACCUAGGCGACGAUCUCUAGCUGGUCUGAGAGGAUGAUCAGCCACACUGGGACUUAGACACGGUCCAGACUCCUACGGGAGGCAGCAGUGGGGAAUAUUGCACAAUGGGCGCAAGCCUUAUGCAGUCAUGCCGCGUGUAUGAAGAAGGCCUUAGGGUUGUAAAGUACUUUCAGCGGGGAGGCGUUACCCGCAGAAGAAGCACCGGCUAACGCCGUGCCAGCAGCCGCGGUAAUAC
rnacentral:rRNA from 1 species